rnacentral:rRNA from 1 species
AGUGAACGCUGGCGGUAGGCCUAACACAUGCAAGUCGAAUGGCAGCACAGUAAGAGCUUGCUCUUACGGGUGGCGAGUGGCGGACGGGUGAGGAAUACAUCGGAAUCUACUUUUUCGUGGGGGAUAACGUAGGGAAACUUACGCUAAUACCGCAUACGACCUACGGGUGAAAGCAGGGGAUCUUCGGACCUUGCGCGAUUGAAUGAGCCGAUGUCGGAUUAGCCAGUUGGCGGGGUAAAGGCCCACCAAGGCGACGAUCCGUAGCUGGUCUGAGUGGAUGAUCAGCCACACUGGAACUGAGACACGGUCCAGACUCCUACGGGAGGCAGCAGUGGGGAAUAUUGGACAAUGGGCGCAAGCCUGAUCCAGCCAUACCGCGUGGGUGAAGAAGGCCUUCGGGUUGUAAAGCCCUUUUGUUGGGAAAGAAAAGCAGCAGGUUAAUACCCCGCUGUUCUGACGGUACCCAAAGAAUAAGCACCGGCUAACUUCGUG